rnacentral:rRNA from 1 species
AUGAAGAGCUUAAACAUCCUAAAGACACCAGAUCCUGUCUGAUCUUGGAAGUUAAGCAGAUCAGUCCCAGUCAGUAUUGGCAUGGGAGGCCACCAACAAAAACCAGGUGCUGUAGACU